CUAUCUUUUGUCAAACUUCACCUAAGACAUAAUUAUGUUUUUUCUCAAUCUCACUCUUAAUCUCACUAAAACCAUUUGCAUCCGCAGUUGUAGCUCGCAAUUUCGUUCGAAUUUUCACCAAUCUUCCAAACGUGCAUCUCUGUUGCUCAUUCAGUGGCUUUGCAUCUCUGUUGCGGGUUUGGUUGAUUGUGGUCUCGGACGUGGACUGGUUGGCAAUAGCAAAACUUGGAGCAGAAUGUUGGGGCAAAGAAAAAAGGGAAAGUGGAAGCACUUAUUUUUGAAGUUGAGUUACUUUUCUUUGACUAAGGAAGAACUCUAGUUUGAAAAAUUAGUCAAAGGAGAAGGCAAGGCUUGAGUAAGUAACAUAUGUGUUGCCCUGAAUUGAUGGCUUAAUUAAGUGUAUCAACAACGUAGAUUUUCCUUUAUUACUUUAUUGCUGAUAAUCUGAAACUAGAGUUUGUGUUAUCACCUUGUGUGAUAUAAGAUUAAUAGUUUAAUGUGUCCGCAUUACAUGCAUGACAGAAAAGAAAAUUGUGUGUAUGUUAUUGUUGUCUUGAAAUGACGUAUCAAUUUCUUGACU